AGGAACAAUACGAAACUGGUAUUGAAUAACAUUAGCGAUAACCUGAGGGGUUCUGGGUAAUCGUUUCUGUAAUUCAAGCACAGCAUUUCUAUCGAGCGACUUGAAACAAAAAAUAAUAAAUAGUAAGAACGAAAGGCAAGGAUCGUAAAAGUGAACUGUAGGGCAUAAUCAAAGUGAGACAACAACGCAAAAUUUUUCCGUUAGAAGCAAAACUACUAGAUAAUAACAA